rnacentral:tRNA from 1 species
AGGAGGCUAGUCUAAAGAAGACCUCUGAUUUCGGCUCAGAAAAUUGUGGUUCAAGUCCACGGCCCCCUU